UAGGGAAGUCUUCCACAAUGGGCGGAAAGCCUGAUGGAGCAACGCCGCGUGUGUGAUGAAGGGUUUCGGCUCGUAAACACUGUUGUAAGAGAAGAAUGACAUUGAGAGUAACUGUUCAAUGUGUGACGGUAUCUUACCAGAAAGGAACGGCUAAAUAUGUGCCAG
rnacentral:rRNA from 1 species